rnacentral:rRNA from 1 species
AUACGUAGGUGGCAAGCGUUGUCCGGAUUUACUGGGUGUAAAGGGCGCGUAGGCGGGAUAGCAAGUCAGCGGUGAAAUGCAGCGGCUCAACCGUUGAACUGCCGUUGAAACUGGGCGCCUUGGAUGCGGUCGAGGCCGGCGGAAUGCGUGGUGUAGCGGUGAAAUGCUUAGAUAUCACGCAGAACGCCAAUUGCGAAGGCAGCUGGCCGGGCCGCAAUCGACGCUGAGGCACGAAAGCGUGGGGAUC